GACGAACGCUGGCGGCGUGCUUAACACAUGCAAGUCGAACGCUGAAGCACCAGCUUGCUGGUGUGGAUGAGUGGCGAACGGGUGAGUAAUACGUGAGUAACCUGCCCUUGACUCUGGGAUAAGCCCGGGAAACUGGGUCUAAUACUGGAUGCUACAUGUCACCGCAUGGUGGUGUGUGGAAAGGGUUUACUGGUCUUGGAUGGGCUCACGGCCUAUCAGCUUGUUGGUGAGGUAAUGGCUCACCAAGGCGACGACGGGUAGCCGGCCUGAGAGGGUGACCGGCCACACUGAGACUGAGACACGGCCCAGACUCCUACGGGAGGCAGCAGUGGGGAAUAUUGCACAAUGGGCGAAAGCCUGAUGCAGCGACGCCGCGUGAGGGAUGACGGCCUUCGGGUUGUAAACCUCUUUCAGCAGGGAAGAAGCCACAAGUGACGGUACCUGCAGAAGAAGCGCCGGCUAACUACGUG
rnacentral:rRNA from 1 species